rfam:Salmo salar isolate Sally breed double haploid chromosome ssa10, whole genome shotgun sequence.
GUGUCAAAGGGUUUUAAAUCGCUUUGGAUAAAAGCGUCUGCUAAAUGGCAUAUU